ACUUAGCUAAAACGGUUGGUUCAAAACAUUUUCUUGCAGUCUUGGCAUAACAUCAAAAAGGCAUAAACAUCGCAAAAUCUCAUCGCCCUCCCAUCUCAAUCGCACGGACCGCCGGGCCGACGUUUGCCUGCGGAA
rfam:Drosophila sechellia strain Rob3c scaffold_41 genomic scaffold, whole genome shotgun sequence.